rnacentral:rRNA from 1 species
CAGUAACGGCGAGCGAAGUGGGAAUAGCUCGAGCCUGAAAUCCCCGGCAUUCUGUGCCGGAGAAUUGUGGCCGGGAGAGGCAGCUGUGCCCGGACUGGUGCUGUCCAAGUUGACCUGGAAAGGCACGCCAGAGAGGGUGAGAGCCCCGUGCGUGACACCGCCGGUCUGGGACGCUACUGUCUUCGGAGAGUCGGGUUGUUUGGGAUUGCAGCCCAAAGUGGGUGGUAGACUCCAUCUAAAGCUAAAUACUGGCACGAGACCGAUAGCGAACAAGUACCGUGAGGGAAAGGUGAAAAGUACUUUGAAAAGAGAGUCAAAAAGACCGCGAAACCGUUAGGAGGGAAACGAAUGCRGCUGAAGUGGCUCUCCGUCAGGCUCAGGAGAUGUCGGCGAGUCCUGCUUGGUAUCGGGAGCUGAGAAAGCCGCGGUGCCUCGCUGGGGUUCCCGUCUACUCUGCACUUCUGCGGAGAGCCGGCCAACGGCAGUUGUUCCCGGCUCAGGAGGUCGUGUGUGGGAGGUAGCUCUGCGCUUGCGUGGAGAACGUAUAGCCCCGCGUCUCGGCAGUCUGGGAGCGACUGAGGAGAGUUGCGAAUUUUCGCACGUGCGGUGCAGGCCCUCCGGGGCUGGGCCGCUCCUGUCGGAGGGGAGGCCGAGGCGGUUCACUGCGUGCAGUGUCUGUCGACGGUCCGCUUCGCCGGUGGGAGGCCGGUCACACCUUGCGCCGUGGUUGUUGGUGCCCGAAUGGCUGCAUCCGACCCGUCUUGAAACACGGACCAAGGAGUGCAACAUGCGUGCGAGUCUUGGGGUGGCAAACCCGUCGGCGCAAUGAAAGUGAAGGCAGAUUCUGGUCUGCUGAGGCGAGAGCCUCCCCCGUGGGGGCCCAUCGUCGACCGAUCCCAGGCUACGCUGUGGCGGGAUUUGAGUGAGAGCGUGCCUGUUGCGACCCGAAAGAUGGUGAACUAUGCCUGAAUAGGGCGAAGCCAGAGGAAACUCUGGUGGAAGCUCGCAGCGAUUCUGACGUGCAAAUCGAUCGUCAAAUUUGGGUAUAGGGGCGAAAGACU